rnacentral:misc_RNA from 1 species
GAAAUGCGAUAAUUAAUGUGAAUUGCAGAAUUCAGUGAAUCAUCGAGUCUUUGAACGCACAUUGCGCCCCCUGGUAUUCCGGGGGGCAUGCCUGUCCGAGCGUCAUUGCUGCCCUCAAGCACUGCUUGUGUGUUGGGCUUCCGUCCCUGGCAACGGGGACGGGCCCAAAAGGCAGUGGCGGCACCAUGUCUGGUCCUCGAGCGUAUGGGGCUUUGUCACCCGCUCCCGUAGGUCCAGCUGGCAGCUAGCCUCGCAACCAAUCUUUUUAACCAGGUUGACCUCGGAUCAGGUAGGGAUACCCGCUGAACUUAAUC